UACCUGGUUGAUCCUGCCAGUAGUCAUAUGCUUGUCUCAAAGAUUAAGCCAUGCAUGUCUAAGUACAAGCCUCAUUAAGGUGAAACCGCGAAUGGCUCAUUAAAUCACACCUAAUAUACAAGAUAUUCUCAGUUACUUGGAUAACUGCGGUAAUUCUGGAGCUAAUACAUGCGCAAAAUUCCCGAACUUCUUGUGAGGGAUGCUUUUAUUAGAUCAAAACCAAUCGGCGGGCUCUUUGGGUCAGCCGUAAUUUUUUGGUGACUCUGGAUAACUUUUAGCGGAUCGCAUGGCUUCAUGCCGGCGACGUAUCUUUCUAAGGUGUGCCCUAUCAACUGUCGACUGUGGCAUAGACGCCCACAGUGGUUUUGACGGGUAACGGGGAAUCAGGGUUCGAUUCCGGAGAGGGAGCCUGAGAAAUGGCUACCACUUCUAAGGAAGGCAGCAGGCACGCAAAUUACCCAAUGGUCGAAGACCGAGGUAGUGACGAAAAAUAACGAAGCCGGACUCAUCCGAGGCCCGGUUAUCGGAAUGAGUACACUUUAAAUCCUUUAACGAGGAACAAUUGGAGGGCAAGUCUGGUGCCAGCAGCCGCGGUAAUUCCAGCUCCAAUAGCGUAUAUUAAAGUUGUUGCGGUCAAAAAGCUCGUAGUUGGACUUCAGCGAGUAAGGAGGGGUUCGUUUCAAUUUUGGAAUGCAACUGCUCCGUUUACUUCGCGAAUUGAUCGACGGUGGUUUCGAAGUGCUCUUUACCGGGUGCUCCGAAAUGCCGUUGGGUUUACUUUGAAAAAAUUAGAGUGCUCAAGGCAGGCUAUUCAAGCUUGAAUAUUCGUGCAUGGAAUAAUAAAAUAGGACGUCGUUUCUAUUUUGUUGGUUUUCGGAAAUAGACGUAAUGAUUAAUAGGGAUAGUUGGGGGCAUUAGUAUUCAGACGACAGAGGUGAAAUUCUUGGACCGUUUGAAGACUAACUACUGCGAAAGCAUUUGCCAAGAAUGUUUUCAUUAAUCAAGAACGAAAGUUAGAGGUUCGAAGGCGAUCAGAUACCGCCCUAGUUCUAACCAUAAACGAUGCCAGCUAGCGAUCCGCGGAUGUUUUAUUAUUGGACUCCGCGGGAAGCUUCCGGGAAACCAAAGCGUUCGGGUUCCGGGGGAAGUAUGGUUGCAAAGCUGAAACUUAAAGCCAUUGACGGAAGAUCACCACCAGGAGUGGAGCCUGCGGCUUAAUUUGACUCAACACGGGAAAUCUCACCAGGCCCGGACACCGGAAGGAUUGACAGAUUGAGAGCUCUUUCUCGAUUCGGUGGGUGGUGGUGCAUGGCCGUUCUUAGUUGGUGGAGUGAUUUGUCUGGUUAAUUCCGAUAACGAACGAGACUCUGUCCUGCUAAAUAGUUGGAGUAUCAUAUUUUUUAUACUCGAAAUUUCUUCUUAGAGGGACUGGCAGCGUUUAGCUGCACGAGAUUGAGCAAUAACAGGUCUGUGAUGCCCUUAGAUGUUCUGGGCCGCACGCGCGCUACACUGAAGGGAUCAGCGUGUUUUCCCUCGCCGAGAGGCGCGGGUAACCCGCUGAAACCCCUUCGUGGUAGGGAUCGGGGCUUGCAAUUAUUCCCCGUGAACCAGGAAUUCCUAGUAAGCGUGAGUCAUAAGCUCGCGUUGAUUACGUCCCUGUUCUUUGUACACACCGCCCGUCGCUACUACCGAUUGAAUGGUUUAGUGAGGUAUUUGGAUCGAGCCUCCGGAGGGCAACCUCUCGGCGUGGUCGAGAAGACUCCCGAACUUGACCAUUUAGAGGAAGUAAAAGUCGUAACAAGGUU
rnacentral:rRNA from 1 species